UCGGCCCUUUGUGAGAUUUUGGGGUUUUGGGGGUUUCAACCUCCAUGGAAGCUUGAGGAACACUCAUUCCUCUAUUGUGUGAUCAUUGGUGGAUUGAGGCAAGAGGACCAAGUGGAGUGACCAACCCUUGGGGUUGUGUGCAAUUGAGGAAAGCUCAAAGAGCAAGGUACUGAUAGAGGUGAGGUUGAUCGAGGCAAGAAGCGUGAGUAGACUGUACCUGAUAGCUGGACAUGUUGAGUUGCAUGCCAUUUAGCAUUGCUAUAUGUAUAUUUUGAUGCCACAUGAUGUAUUUUGGAGGACUUAGUGCAUGAUCAUUGUAGUAGUAAUGGGUAUCUGAUA